rnacentral:tRNA from 1 species
AGCUUGGUCUAGUGGUUAAGGUGCCAGGCUGGAAACCAGGAGACUGUGAGUUCAAGUCCCAUCUUAGUUA